rnacentral:rRNA from 1 species
CAGUCGCCGCGGUAAUACGUAGGGCGCAAGCGUUAUCCGGAAUUAUUGGGCGUAAAGAGCUCGUAGGCGGUUUGUCGCGUCUGCCGUGAAAGUCCGGGGCUCAACCCCGGAUCUGCGGUGGGUACGGGCAGACUAGAGUGAUGUAGGGGAGACUGGAAUUCCUGGUGUAGCGGUGAAAUGCGCAGAUAUCAGGAGGAACACCGAUGGCGAAGGCAGGUCUCUGGGCAUUAACUGACGCUGAGGAGCGAAAGCAUGGGGAGCGAACAGGAUUAGAUACCCGAGUAGUCCCUGUCUCUUAUAC